ensembl:lncRNA
GUUUUGAUGGAGCUCAUCUAGGCAGCAAGAGUUAAUUGAUGUUAAUAGUGUUGUUUUUGCUGUGAGUUGCUGUUUGUGUCUGAUUUUCUAAGGAGGAAGAAGUUCAGCUUGACUGCAGUCGAGAACAUGGGAAGACUUCUGCUGCUGCACUUGAUUUUUCAUGACUAUUUUUCUUCUUUUCAAAUCCUGGUAGUAACCUUUAAUCAAAACAGUGGUUUGUAGAGUACUGAUGGGUAAAAUUUAAAAUAGAGAAAAAAAGAAUUAAAAUACAACAUGUUUAGUUGUAACAACUGACCCAUAACAAAUUUUAUUUCUGGCACACAGGCAUCCUGUUUAGUGGUACUUGGACAUGGUCAGUAACAAUGCCAAGGAGUAUUAAAGGCCUAUACGGUUCCUGCUUGGUUAUACCAUGUAGUUACUCCUACGACUCAGAUCCACCUACAAACCCUCAUCGAGUCGUGUGGUAUCAGUAUGUUAGUCGUGGAUACCCUUUAGUGUAUGAUAGUUGGUACCCUGGAUCAGUGAUUGACAAGUUCAGAGGAAAAACCAGUUUAUAUGGAAGCCCAUUCUGGAGGAGCUGCAGCCUCCUGAUUGAGCACCUUGAUCAAUCCCACCAUGGAGAAAAACUUUAUGCCUGGAUAGACCCGGAAAAUGUUGGAUACAGAUUCUAUGAUGUUACCAGUACGAUUUAUAUUGAAACAUCAGCACAACCACCCAGCAUUGACAUUUAUGGAGGAAACCAAAUUGGGGAAACUGUCACUGUUCAGUGCAGCACAUACCACACCUGCCCUUACAGAAAUCCCACUCUGACUCUGAGCGGGAUAGAAGGAACUGAUGACAGCCCAGAACACACAGACAUUGGAAGUGGCACCUGGAAAAUCACACUGAUACGCACAGGGAUUGUUACGUCUGUUAAUUACAGAGUUGACUGUGUGGUCAGACAUCCUGGUGGCCUCUCAGCUUCAGCUACUAAAACACACACUGCGACAUGUCCCAUUUACACACCCCAGAUUACACCUGAUUCCAGCACAGAGUUUCUUGAGGGAGUGGAAACAGACAUUGUUUGCUCGGUUAUGUACAAGUGCCCCGGAGAUCAACCUUACAUCACCUGGAAUGGUGGACAGUUACCUGGCAGCAUGCUUCUUGUACCAGGAGCACAACAGGAAGCUAGAUCAACACUAAAAUUCACUGCAAGGGCUACUGACCAUAGGAAAGUCCUUACCUGCUUCGUAGAAUUUAAAGGAAGUGUUCAAACAGUCAGAAUUACUUUAAAAGUGAAGCAUAAGUAAAAAACUUAACAUUAUUCAACAUGGACCUAGUACAGUUAGUGUGUUAACUUUCAGCUAGUAUGUUAUCUUGUGGGUACAAUGGCAUAUCCACUUCUCUUUUCACACAGCACCAUUCUCUGUCAUUCACUAGAGCUAGAAAAAACAGCUAAUUUCAGUGCUAUGGUUAUUAAGUUGAACUGAGAUGAAUAUACCUUUAUGUAAAAAAGAGCUUUAAUACUACAGAAAUUUAAACAGAAC